UGAUAAUUUAUCAAAAAAGGAGGAAGGCUCUUCACAUAGUGUUCAUUGACCUGAAAAAGGCAUAUGAUAAAGUACCAAAGUAAAUUCUGUGGUAGGUUCUAGAAAAGAAAAGAGUUCAUCUCAUUAUAUAAAUAUCAUCAAAGACAUGCACGUGGGGGCGGUCACAAGUGUAAAAAUAGUGGAAGGGGAUAUAGAUGAGUUUUCCAUGAUAGUGGGUUUACAUUAGGGAUCAACUUAAAUCUGUACCUCUUUACCUUAGGUAUGGAUGAGCUAAUCAAUCAUGUUUAAGAUGAUGUUCUAUGGUGUAUGUUACUUGCUUGAUAAUGUUGUGUUAGUGGAUGAAACUAGUGAAGUAGCUGAUCAAAAGUUGGAGUCAUUAAGGACUCUUGAAAGUAAGGGUUUUAG
rnacentral:misc_RNA from 1 species